CAUCUUCAUCUGGACUCUCACAGCGUUUGCUCAAGAGUGUAGAGGACAGAUCACCGUCACUCAGAGUCCCUCAAUGACAGCAGCUCAACCAGGACAAACUGUGAACAUCAACUGUAAAACCAGCAGAGAUGUGUACAGUCUUUUGGGGAUAUACUGUUUAGCCUGGUACUUACAGAAACCUGGAGAAGCUCCUAAACUCCUGAUUUAUUAUACAAACACCCUCCAGUCAGGAACUCCAUCUAGAUUCAGUGGCAGUGGAUCUAACAGUGAUUUCACUCUGACCAUCAGUGGAGUCCAGACUGAAGAUGCUGGACAUUAUUACUGUCAGAGUUUCCAUGAAAUCAACAGUAAAUAUGUGUUCACACAGUGAUAAAGAGUCGUACAAAAACCUCCGUCAGUCAGAGUCACAGUGACUGAACUGAUACUGCAGCUGCUCACACACUUUCACACACUUUCACACACUACUGACACACAGAGGACAAACACAGGAACUACACAUGUGCUCAAAACUGACUUAUGACUGAAAUC